UACGUAGGGGGCAAGCGUUGUCCGGAUUUAUUGGGCGUAAAGAGCGUGUAGGCGGCCUGACAAGUCUGCUGUGAAAACUCGAGGCUCAACCUCGAGAUGUCGGCGGAAACCAUCUGGCUAGAGUCCGGAAGAGGAGAAUGGAAUUCCCGGUGUAGCGGUGAAAUGCGCAGAUAUCGGGAAGAACACCCGUGGCGAAGGCGGUUCUCUGGGACGGUACUGACGCUGAGGAGCGAAAGCGUGGGGAGCAAACAGG
rnacentral:rRNA from 1 species